rnacentral:rRNA from 1 species
CAGCCUGCCCAGUGAAUAGAUUUAACGGCCGCGGUACUCUAACCGUGCAAAGGUAGCAUAAUCACUUGUUCUUUAAAUGAGGACUAGAAUCAACGGCACCACGAGGAUCACACUGUCUCCUCACUCCAAUCAAUGAAACUGAUCUCCCCGUGAAGAAGCGGGAAUACAAAUAUAAGACGAGAAGACCCCAUGGAGCUUUAAACCCAACAACACCCACUUAUUUUUACCCUUAUACUCAUUAUGGCCCUGUUUGUUUGGUUUUAGGUUGGGGUGACCGCGGAGCAUAAAACAACCUCCACGAAAAAUGGACCAACAAUCCUUAUCAAAGAAGUACACUUCUAUGAAUUAACAAAUUAAUUUUUAAUGAUCCGAUAUUCGAUCAACGAACCAAGUUACCCUGGGGAUAACAGCGCAAUCCACCUUAAGAGCUCCUAUCGACAGGUGGGUUUACGACCUCGAUGUUGGAUCAGGGUAUCCUAGUGGUGCAGCAGCUACUAACGGUUCGUUUGUUCAACGAUUAAAACCCU